rnacentral:tRNA from 1 species
GGGGCAUUAGCUCAUCUGGCUAGAGCGUUUGACUGGCAGUCAAAAGGUGACGAGUUCGAUUCUCGUAUGCUCCACCA